UACUACAUGCAGAUAUGUGGAUCACGUCAUUGCUCUCUCGAUUAAUCCCGCAAGUGUAGGCGUGUUUUGCAUCAGCUGGAAGUUGAUUGCCUUCGAUUUGGAACCAGGCUGCAUCCUGGGUUUGAACCAGGUGCCCAUUUCAAAGCCCACUGCGAAGUCUGCUCAAAACAAAACUGACGUCCCUGGAGGCCAUUGUGACAUCCAUUGUGUGGCAACACAGCUUUGGAAGCCAGGCGGAGUGUCAGUGAGAGGAGCUGAAGAGAGAGAACGCAGGUAUCUUCACAGCACCAGUGAGAGGAGUCUACUACAUCAGAUUCACUGCCAUGGAUUACCUCACAUCACAUUCAUGUGUGUAUAUCUUUACCACAAUUACAAGAGAGUUCUGUUAAAUAACUAAUAUGGUACCCAUGGAGAUCUUCAGUACAGGUCUAAUGCAUUGACUCUAGAGCUGGACGAGGGUGAUGUGAUCUACAUGCGUCUCCCCUCAGGCAGGAGGCUCUUUGAUAAUUCUAAUAACUACACCUUCAGUGGCUUCCUGCUCUUCCCUAUGUGAAGGGAGCACUGUCAAUUAUGUAAUGAUUUCUGAUGUGAACAGUUCGGAUGAAUCAAUAAAGAGCAUCGUAAAAAAAUAAAAGCCAGACAAUUAUUUUGUUUACAUUUUUAUUUCAAUGUUUUUUUGUAAU